GAGAUAGGAGCUGUUAUUGAAUUAUUAAUUUUUUUCUUUAAACAACGAUUUUUUGCUUUUUAAAAAUUCAUUCCUUCUAAGAGUUAUUCAUCCAAAAAAAAAAAAUUCGGGGGAAAAGUCUAACAAUUUUUCCCUUUAUUCCCUCCAUUCAUAAUUUGGGGUAUUAAUUUUGUUCUAGGUUUCAACUCCAAAUUUUUAAACUUAUAUUGAACCUGAUACACAAUUCAAUAUGGCAUUAAGUAAGAUACUACUUCUGAAUUCAACCUAAUAAAUCAGUGAUACACCUGUUGAAAAAAAAAAAUGAACCUGAAAGGUUAAUUGUAUAAAAACAGGUGGGACUGAGUAAAAUACCAGAUAUAUGUUUUAUUUAAUACAACAAAAGUUAUAAUGGAAAUGAUAAGAUAAAGAGCAAUACAAAUCAAGAAAAGACAAAAUUCCCAAAGGGGAAUAAUAUUGACUAAAGCUUCUUAAUUAGAACAGCUACAAAAAGUUGUUUUAUUGUUUUCAAAAUUUUACAUGCAUGAAUCUAUACACAACAAUAUAUAUCCUCAAAAAGAUUUUACAGCACCUUGAGAAAUACUUAAAUAACAUCUGCCCAACGUGAAAGUGACCAACUGAUCCCUCCUCUCCAUUUCCCCCAAGCUACCUUCUAUUUGUUUAAUGUAAUCGGGCUUUAUAGCGUAUAGUUCUACAAAAGCUUUGCAGCAGAAAAAAGCUCACGGAGAAAGUAGUUGACCGAGAAAGUCUGUCUAGUCUCCCCGCCCCCCAAAAAAGGAAAACAAAAAACAGAACCAAACCCAGACCCUCGGCCUUAAGGGCUGCCUGGAAAUUUCUGAUUCGUGUUUUUCCAUUGCUUAACAUUUCAAAAGAAUAUUUCAGAAUUUUAUUUCGCCUCUUUUCUGUACAACUCCAUCCUGUGCUAGAAUGGAUCACUCUACGAAAGGGAGUUUUUAAGCUGUCUUUUUUUAUUUUUUGCCUUUUAGCAUAAGGUAACCAAUUCGUUUUUAUUCUAACUAAGCCCGGAUCGCUACUGCAAUUCGUCUUAAAAAGAAACAAAAAUACAAACAGGGAAGGCGUACCCACAAAACAUGCCUGCCCGUGACUUUGUUCGAAUGCAUUCAGAGAAAUAUACAUUACACGAACUCUCAUUCGUGCUUUCCUCUAAUUAAAAAAAAAAAGUUUCAGUAGUUUAUUCUGGCAAGUUUCUUAGCUGUUCCUUUCUUUCCUUACAAUCCAGGCGGUAGGAAGCAGAACGCGCCCGCGUUGUUGUUGCCGCCGCCGCCUCCUUUUCCUAGCCCGGGUUUAGACUUCUCUCUAAUCUCGCGCUUCCCUUUCCCUCCGCCCCCCUCUUCCUCCUCCACCCCCGCCCCUCCACACCACCUGCUACUCUCCUCUCCCUCCUUUUUCCCCGCCUGAGUUCUCACGCCCAUCCGAGGUCCUUCCCCACCCUCUUCUUUUCUUCUCACCCUCCUACAGGCUGCCUCUAACCCCUUCGAUCCUGGGUCUGAUUUCCCCUAAGUCCCAUCGUCUGCGUUCCCUUUUCCUCCUAUGCAGCUACUCUUCUUUGGCCGUUCUCUCCGCCGAGGUCUCGUCUGGUCUCGUCCGGGCCCGGCCCGAUCAGGCUGGGCUGGGCUGGGCUGGGCUGGGCUGGGCUGGGCAGGGCGGCGCAGGGCAGGGCACGGCUGGCCUCCUCCUCUCUCCUCCCCACCCCACACGAAGUUCUCUUUCCUCUCGAUUGCUCUCCAGGGGGAUUACUUUUAAUAGCGAGUCUUCGGCCGGCGAGUUCUGAUUGGAUGUUUUACGCAAAGGCUCCGCCCGUUCCGUGGUACGCGCAAAAGAGGGUGGGGAGGGGAAGAAGCGGAGAAGGGCGCGCGCGCGCGCGCGCGCUCCCGCAGCCCGGAGGCAGAGAGCCGCGGUUGCUUGGGUUUCUGGUUCGGGUGUCGCUGGUUCCCCCUGGUCUCCGAGAAGGUGACUCCGAGGGAGAAUUCUGGGCUGCUUAGGUGUUCCUCUUUCUUCCCAUGCCCGCUUCUCUCGAGGCUGGUAUCCCGGGUGCCGCGGGGCAGCCCCGAGGAAGGACAGGUUUGAUUUACAGCCUCCUCCAGGCGGCCCCGAGGCCAAUGCCGUGUGGGCAAUGUCUCCUCCCGCCCUCACGCGGCCCGCCCGCCCUGAUAGCCCGGAUGUCACUGCCCCCUGUGGCCGGGCUGCGGACUCGAUUAUCAGCCCCAGUGAGGAUCCUUUUAAAGAGACCGCUGCCUUUGCGUACCACGCGGGGCUCGCUCCUCGGUCUUCCUGGCGCGGAGCGGGGAGGACCCAGAGCCGAGCCAGCGCGUGUCUGCGGUCCGAGGGGCCAGCUGGGAGCCGCCGAGUUUUCUUCCUUCCCCGGGCGGGCCCCCGGCUCAGGGAAAAACGGCCAGUCCGACGGCCCGAGCGGCGGCCUGGGAUUGGCCGAGAGCCGCGGGAAUGCCGGACAUUUCGGUCUCGGUCGCUUGCCCGGCCAGUCCGGGCUCCGAAAUAAUCCUGGAGCAAGAUGGACGAAGAGCAGAUAGCCCUAGGGGAACUUGGCCGAGAUGUGCGUGCGCGUUUUGGUGUGAGUGCGCGCGUGUGUACUUGCAUAUGGGGUCAAGUAUUGAUCGGUAAACUGGGCUCAUCGGCCCGACUGACCCCUCCUGGAAGACCGAUAACAGUCAGUAUUAAGAAAAAAAUAACAGAAAAUAAAAAGGCAUUCUUCAUAAACUAGUGACUUAUAAAUAUUCCAACCAGAUAGUAACUGUUUAUUAAGCAUGCCAGGAAAGUUAGAAGGGAGUUCUCGCUCUCAAGUAGCUUUUUCUACAUUCAAAAGAUUCGGAGGUUGGCGUGUUUGGUUUUGUUUCAAGACCAGCUCGUGAAGGGGAAAGUUUUCGCCCACAAAAUACCCAUUUUGAAACUUUUACUGAGGGUGGUUCCUUGGGGAAAUUUUGGACCAGAUUAAGAGGCUUCUGAGUAAGCCAUUUUAAUAAUAAAAGGUUGACUCUUAAGAACUGAAGAGACUUUGAAAGGCUUAACACCAUAAUCUGAGCCCCCAAGAAUGGUUUUAACUAAAAAUAUUUAAGUAUUUAAAGUUUGCAAUUGAGAGUGUAAACUCCUGGAGGGUAGGAACUCUCCUUUAAAUUCUGAAUUAUAUUGUCACCUUGCUGAUUACCUUUUUUCAUCAUAAUUUUUUACUGCGAUUUGUAUUUAACUUUACUGAAGUACAAAAUUUUAAUAGCUUAAAAAAACUAUCCUAGAUAAAACUAAAUUGUCAAGAA
ensembl:lncRNA